rnacentral:tmRNA from 4 species
GGGAAUAAUAUUAUGUAUUGACAUUUUAUUUAA